CACUAUGCCUAGCCCUAAACAUCGACAGUUAAUUACACCCACUGUCCGCCUGGGAACUACGAGCACCAGCUUAAAACCCAAAGGACUUGGCGGUGCUUUAGACCCACCUAGAGGAGCCUGUUCUAGAACCGAUAAUCCCCGUUAAACCUCACCCUUCCUUGUCAUUUCCGCCUAUAUACCACCGUCGCCAGCUUACCCUGUGAAGGCCCAAUAGUAAGCGCAAUCGGCAAUGCCCAAAACGUCAGGUCGAGGUGUAGCGAAUGGAAGGGGAAGAAAUGGGCUACAUUUACUAACACAGUAAAUACGGAUGAUUACCCUGCAACGAGUAUCUGAAGGAGGAUUUAGCAGUAAGCAAAAAGCAGAGUGUUUUGCUGAAAUUGGCCCUGAAGCGUGCACACACCGCCCGUCACUCUCUCCGAACUAAAACUUUAAACAUAACUAAUAUGCUAUAAUUGUAAAGGGGAGGCAAGUCGUAA
rnacentral:rRNA from 1 species